rnacentral:lncRNA from 1 species
CUCGAGCGUCUGUGGCAUUACACCAUCAUCAGCAGCAACCACCAAGACAACUAUAUCAGUAACAGCAGCUCCCCGAGCACGCAUCUCACUGAAAGCGGCGUGACCAGGCGUGUCUAGGAAGGUGAUUGAAGUGCCGGAGUCCGGCAUGCCCACCACGAACGCACCCACGUGCUGAGUGAUCCCACCUGCUUCUCUUGCCGCCACGGAGGUGUUUCUUAAAGCGUCUAACAGAGAGGUCUUUCCAUGAUCGACAUGGCCCAUUACCGUUACAACCGGAGGCCUUGGGAGGAUCUGUGAUCCUUCUGUAGUGUGCUGUCUCCUUACAUUGAUCCCUAUUUCCUGCAAAAGAAGAAGAUCUUAACAUGCAAGAUCCAUGACCUUGUAGCUAGAGGUUCGAAUCAUUUUAUUACCAUUGCAAGAAGCUCGGCAACAUCUAUGCUGAUUGCGUCGAACUCCGAACUAACGGUUUCCCCAACAUUGAGGAGAAUGCUCUGCAAAACCGCCAAUGACUCACCAGUACGCUUGGAGAACUCAAGUAAGGUCAUGCCUUCGAACACAUCGACUGUUUUCUCAGCCAAUCCCUUUGCCAAUCUUUGUAGCCUGGGAGGCACAUAAGGAGCUUCAACGGGUGGCUUAUCAGUUUUCUUCUCCCGUUUUGAGAACUUUCCUUUCGUUUUCACAGUCUGCUUCUUGAGCUCACGAUGGCUCAGCUGACGAUCAGGAUCCUCUUUUCUUCUCGCCAGUGUUUCUCGGCUUACAUGAAAGCACCUGCUGCUCAAAAAACACAGGACAGUGAACAUUUCUAUAGAAUAAUAUAUAAGAGAGAAGGAUUAAAAAGUGUAGGCGAAUGGUUUAUACCUUAUGGAUGUGAAGGUUGGGAAAGAUUCAUGAUUAGGCGAGCUGAACCCGAACCCUAAAACAUGAAUAAAAGUGUUCUUUAUCCAUUUUCCACAACGUUAAAAGGAAAUCUUGUAACCAUCCUUUUCACUGUGCUUACCAUUAAUGUACCGAGCGAAUGAGAAAGCAACACUUCCAGAAGUGCUUUUGGAAAACGUAGAGGAAAUAUGUCUCUCCUCAACAACCUGAACGUUUCCUCCGAUAUCUUCAAGCUCUAUCCCCUCAGCGGCGAGCUGGUUCUUGACUCUUUCCGGAUUAGCUCCCGGCUUAUCGCAUUUAUUAAUCGCAACCACAAUCGGAACAUUGGCCGACCUAGCGUGCGCGAUGGCCUCGAGCGUCUGUGGCAUUACACCAUCAUCAGCAGCAACCACCAAGACAACUAUAUCAGUAACAGCAGCUCCCCGAGCACGCAUCUCACUGAAAGCGGCGUGACCAGGCGUGUCUAGGAAGGUGAUUGAAGUGCCGGAGUCCGGCAUGCCCACCACGAACGCACCCACGUGCUGAGUGAUCCCACCUGCUUCUCUUGCCGCCACGGAGGUGUUUCUUAAAGCGUCUAACAGAGAGGUCUUUCC